rnacentral:lncRNA from 1 species
GGCAAGAGCUCCAAGGCCAACAGGUUCACGGUCAUGGCAGCGGAAAACAUCGACGAGAAGAGGAACACCGACAAGUGGAAGGGUCUUGCGUACGAUAUCUCCGACGACCAGCAGGACAUCACCAGAGGGAAGGGCAUCGUGGACUCCCUCUUCCAGGCGCCCACUGGCGACGGCACCCACGAGGCCGUCCUCAGCUCAUACGAGUACGUCAGCCAGGGACUCAAGAAGUACGACUUCGACAACACCAUGGGAGGCUUCUACAUCGCUCCUGCUUUCAUGGACAAGCUUGUUGUCCAUCUCUCCAAGAACUUCAUGACCCUGCCCAACAUCAAGGUACGUACGACAUGCAUCAUCACCUACUAUUUAAUUUAACUGAUUAGCAGCAAGAAAAUCAUUCCGAUUCUGAAACUGACCUUGAAUCGAAAUUCAGAUCCCACUCAUCUUGGGUAUCUGGGGAGGCAAGGGUCAAGGAAAAUCCUUCCAGUGUGAGCUUGUCUUCGCCAAGAUGGGCAUCAAGUAGGAAUUUACAUUCAUCUAUUAUACAUACUGCCACACGGUUAUAGAUGCCUGAAGCCAAAGUGCUAAUAAUAGAUAAUGACGUGUGCUUUUCACCACAGCCCAAUCAUGAUGAGUGCCGGAGAGCUGGAGAGUGGCAACGCCGGAGAGCCAGCCAAGCUCAUCAGGCAGCGGUACCGUGAGGCUGCAGACAUGAUCAAGAAGGGUAAGAUGUGCUGCCUCUUCAUCAACGAUCUUGACGCCGGUGCGGGUAGGAUGGGCGGGACCACACAGUACACCGUCAACAACCAGAUGGUGAACGCCACCCUCAUGAACAUCGCCGAUGCCCCCACCAAUGUGCAGCUCCCAGGCAUGUACAACAAGGAGGAGAACCCACGUGUGCCCAUCGUCGUCACUGGUAACGAUUUCUCGACGUUGUACGCCCCUCUGAUCCGUGAUGGUCGUAUGGAGAAGUUCUACUGGGCUCCCACCCGCGACGACCGUAUCGGUGUCUGCAAGGGUAUCUUCCAGACCGACAAUGUCAGCGACGAGUCCGUCGUCAAGAUCGUCGACACCUUCCCAGGACAAUCCAUCGGUAUGUUCCUCACAACUGCACUGCAGAGAUAAUAUUCAUCAGGGCAAUCAAGUUAUAUAGUAUUGACAAAGGAUCGUCGAUCCUACAGACUUUUUCGGUGCUCUGCGUGCUCGGGUGUACGACGACGAGGUGCGCAAGUGGGUGACCUCUACCGGUAUCGAGAACAUUGGCAAGAAGCUGGUGAACUCGCGGGACGGACCAGUGACCUUUGAGCAGCCAAAGAUGACAGUGGAGAAGCUGCUAGAGUACGGGCACAUGCUCGUCCAGGAGCAGGACAAUGUCAAGCGUGUGCAGCUUGCUGACACCUACAUGAGCCAGGCAGCUCUGGGUGAUGCUAACCAGGAUGCGAUGAAGACUGGUACCUUCUACGGUUAGAACAUUCUCCAUACACACCCACCAUCUCUUGCUGCAUAGGAGGAGGUGAACUACGCACAAUCCUUUUAUACUUUCAGCACCUACUUUACAUACUUACUUACUUCUCACUUGCUUACUUCUGAAACAAAAGAGUGAAUCAUAAACAAACAGUGGAGGCCUAUUCUUCUUACCUGUUCUUCUGGCAUAUCAAGCUCAUCUUUCUCAUCAGAUCGUCCAAAACAAUUAAAUUGCAGGUAAAGGGGCACAGCAAGGUACUUUGCCUGUACCGGCAGGAUGCACCGACCAGAC